AGAGUUUGAUCCUGGCUCAGGACGAACGCUGGCGGCGUGCUUAACACAUGCAAGUCGAACGGAAAGGCCCUUCGGGGUACUCGAGUGGCGAACGGGUGAGUAACACGUGGGUGAUCUGCCCUGCACUUUGGGAUAAGCCUGGGAAACUGGGUCUAAUACCGAAUAGGACCACGCGCUUCAUGGUGUGUGGUGGAAAGCUUUUGCGGUGUGGGAUGGGCCCGCGGCCUAUCAGCUUGUUGGUGGGGUAAUGGCCUACCAAGGCGACGACGGGUAGCCGGCCUGAGAGGGUGACCGGCCACACUGGGACUGAGAUACGGCCCA
rnacentral:rRNA from 1 species